CCUACGGGUGGCAGCAGUGGGGGAUAUUGGACAAUGGGGGAAACCCUGAUCCAGCGACGCCGCGUGAGUGAAGAAGUAUUUCGGUAUGUAAAGCUCUAUCAGCAGGGAAGAAAGAAAUGACGGUACCUGAGUAAGAAGCCCCGGCUAACUACGUGCCAGCAGCCGCGGUAAUACGUAGGGGGCAAGCGUUAUCCGGAUUUACUGGGUGUAAAGGGAGCGUAGACGGUAUGGCAAGUCUGAAGUGAAAGCCCAGGGCUUAACCCUGGGACUGCUUUGGAAACUGUUAGACUAGAGUGCUGGAGAGGUAAGUGGAAUUCCUAGUGUAGCGGUGAAAUGCGUAGAUAUUAGGAGGAACACCAGGGGCGAAGGCGACUUACUGGACUGUAACUGACACUGAGGCACGAAAGCGUGGGGAGCAAACAGGAUUAGAUACCCGGGUAGUC
rnacentral:rRNA from 1 species